CUUUCUUUGCUGGCGACCGGCGCACGGGUGAGUAACACGUAUCCAACCUGCCCUUUACUCGGGGAUAGCCUUUCGAAAGAAAGAUUAAUACCCGAUAGCAUAAUGAUUCCGCAUGGUUUCAUUAUUAAAGGAUUCCGGUAAAGGAUGGGGAUGCGUUCCAUUAGGUUGUUGGUGGGGUGACGGCCCACCAAGCCUUCGAUGGAUAGGGGUUCUGAGAGGAAGGUCCCCCACAUUGGAACUGAGACACGGUCCAA
rnacentral:rRNA from 1 species